GACGAACGCUGGCGGCGUGCUUAACACAUGCAAGUCGAACGGAAAGGCCCUGCUUUUGUGGGGUGCUCGAGUGGCGAACGGGUGAGUAACACGUGAGUAACCUGCCCUUGACUUUGGGAUAACUUCAGGAAACUGGGGCUAAUACCGGAUAGGAGCUCCUGCUGCAUGGUGGGGGUUGGAAAGUUUCGGCGGUUGUGGAUGGUCUCGCGGCUUAUCAGCUUGUUGGUGGGGUAGUGGCUUACCAAGGCUUUGACGGGUAGCCGGCCUGAGAGGGUGACCGGCCACAUUGGGACUGAGAUACGGCCCAGACUCCUACGGGAGGCAGCAGUGGGGAAUAUUACACAAUGGGCGGAAGCCUGAUGCAGCAACGCCGCGUGCGGGAUGACGGCCUUCGGGUUGUAAACCGCUUUCGCCUGUGACGAAGCGUGAGUGACGGUAAUGGGUAAAGAAGCACCGGCUAACUACGUG
rnacentral:rRNA from 1 species